GAAACUACUCGGGCAUUGCACUUAGCACCCACACGCGUUAUCUCAUCCAAGUUCCGCGUCCUAACAAUUAACACGGUGGCUCUAUUCCAUAACUGCUUCAACUUCUCCUGCAAUUGCGAGGCGCUCCAUUGGUUUCUCAUUGGGCUUGGAUCUGAAUCAAUAUUUGGCCCAAAUCCUCACACAUCAUCAGCUGUGACGUCGUCCCCGUGCUAUUGCUUCCCACUGCUGCUAUUCACUUUCUUCCUCCUACUUUCGUAGCUUCGUUCAGUUGCACAGGUGUGACGUCGUUUUCUUGGCAUCAUCUGUAGGAUUUUCAGCUUCAUCACCCUGUUUCCUCAGCGAAUCAUCAUCUACACAUCUCCUUUUGCGAGUUUUCCGGGUAAAGCUUCAUCACCCUUCCAUCGCCGUCGUUCCUUCCAUGUUCUGUUGAGCGUGUCGUCCUUCCUGAAUCUAUUGUUGUUGGAUUUCGGGAUAAAGUUUUGUCAUGGAUUCUGCUUCAGAUCUUCUUCUUUCCAUGCUGUGUGGAAUUUUAAUUUGACUGGUAAAGGGUAAAAAGGCUUCAGAGUAAGAUGAAGAAAAAAUAGAAGGAACAAAAUCAAAUUCACCCUCUCAAAUGUUCAGGAAACAUGGUCCCCUGCUAUAAUGAUGUCUUGCUGGUAAAAAUCUAACACUUGAUCAGUUUUAUAAAAGGUCAAUACAUUAUGGAAGCUUACUUUUAAAUUCUUGCAUAAACUUUCUCAUCCACGAAUUCAGCUUGCCAACUGGUGAAAUUGUUUGGCUUAAUUUAGUAGUAAUGGACCAUCCAAUUUUUAGUAAUUGUUCUUAUUCUCCUUCUGAUUUUGCAAUUUUUCAAUCUCUAUUAGUAAAUAUAUGUGAGAGGGGGAAAUAUAUGAUUCAACUCUGAAUCAUAUAAGUUAUUUGUUUACUUUUACAACUCCAUCAAAUUCAUUGAAAAAUAAAGAAGAGAAGUGUAGGAUAUCAUUUUCUUUCUCUUUGUUGUGUUUAGAAGGGAAAGAAAAUGACAGUAGUGCUGCAUCCAGAUCUGUUAGUAUCUGCCCCCCAAUAUUGCUCAGAUCCUCUUUAUCUGUAUUUUUUGUGUGCUUAUAAAUUGAACCAUUGGUUGUCAGGAUGUUCAUUGGUUGUACAUUGAUUAUAGCUUUUGUGUUGAUUUGUUUAUGUUAAGUUGUAUAUCUGUUGAUUUGUAACUGAGCAAUCUCCCUUUAAUUCGCUGGUCCAAAAGAUUGAGGCAACUGUUCAGAAGUAUAUUUCUUCAUUUACAUCGGUUCUUCUCUUGAAGCAGAACUGAUUUUUUGCAUAGGGGAACCUGGAUUUGAUAUUAGAAGAUGUGCAGAUUGUUAAGGGAAUUCCAAACGUUACUUGAUGUACUAGAUCAUGCCAAUCAUUUAAGUAUAUUUCAGUAAUCCUUAACCAUGAUUUGGCCUUAUUUGAUCAUUGGAGCCUUGAGUGGUGGCCAUUUGAGCUGCUAACCGUGCUGAGUCUUCUACCAAAUCCAGAGCUUAAAACUUCAGUGGCUGUUGCGAAGAUUUAAGGAGUGUUUUGCUCACAAUUGUCAGAGGCCAAGUCCUUCUGCUGGUUUUUUUAUGGUGUUCUUCAUUGGUUCCCCAGAACAAAGCAAAGCUGGUGGGCUGGUCUCACCAAAACUCACAAAACUGUGAUCUUGACAUGUGUGUAGAUGUCUUUUUUUUCAUUGUUUUAAUUGAGAAAACUAAAAAUAAUUGAGUGUUGUACUGCUACCAUUAUCAAUUUCCACUAACUACCUUCUUUCGGUCUC